rnacentral:rRNA from 1 species
UCUGNUCUGUCACUGACGCUGAGGCUCGAAAGCGUGGGUAGCGAACAGGAUUAGAUACCCUGGUAGUNCACGCCGUAAACGCUGAGUGCUAGGUGUUAGGUCCUUUCCGGGACUUAGUGCCGACGCUAACGCAUUAAGCACUCCGCCUGGGGAGUACGACCGCAAGGUUGAAACUCAAAGGAAUUGACGGGGGCCCGCACAAGCGGUGGAGCAUGUGGUUUAAUUCGAAGCAACGCGAAGAACCUUACCAGGUCUUGACAUCCCGAUGCCCGCUCUAGAGAUAGAGUUUUUCUUCGGAACAUCGGAGACAGGUGGUGCAUGGUUGUCGUCAGCUCGUGUCGUGAGAUGUUGGGUUAAGUCCCGCAACGAGCGCAACCCUUAUUGUUAGUUGCCAUCAUUAAGUUGGGCACUCUAGCGAGACUGCCGGUAAUAAACCGGAGGAAGGUGGGGAUGACGUCAAAUCAUCAUGCCCCUUAUGACCUGGGCUACACACGUGCUACAAUGGUUGGUACAACGAGUCGCAAGCCGGUGACGGCAAGCUAAUCUCUGAAAGCCAAUCUCAGUUCGGAUUGUAGGCUGCAACUCGCCUACAUGAAGUCGGAAUCGCUAGUAAUCGCGGAUCAGCACGCCGCGGUGAAUACGUUCCCGGGCCUUGUACACACCGCCCGUCACACCACGAGAGUUUGUAACACCCAAAGUCGGUGAGGUAACCAUUUAUGGGNCCA